GAUGAACGCUGGCGGCGUGCCUAAUACAUGCAAGUCGAGCGAACAGAUAAGGAGCUUGCUCCUUUGACGUUAGCGGCGGACGGGUGAGUAACACGUGGGUAACCUACCUAUAAGACUGGAAUAACUCCGGGAAACCGGGGCUAAUGCCGGAUAACAUUUAGAACCGCAUGGUUCUAAAGUGAAAGAUGGUUUUGCUAUCACUUAUAGAUGGACCCGCGCCGUAUUAGCUAGUUGGUAAGGUAACGGCUUACCAAGGCAACGAUACGUAGCCGACCUGAGAGGGGGAGCGGCCACAGGGGAAGUGAGACAGGGGAGAGACACCUGCGGGAGGAAGCAGGAGGGGAUGGUGCGAAAUGGGCGAGAGGCUGACGGAACAAUGACGCGUGAGUGAUAAAGGUCGUCGGAUCGUAAAACGUUGUUAUGAGAGAAAAACAAAUGGGUAAGUAACUGUGCGCGGCUGGACGGUACCUAAUCAGAAAGCCGCGGCUAACUAUG
rnacentral:rRNA from 1 species